rnacentral:rRNA from 1 species
UACGGAGGGUGCAAGCGUUGUCCGGAUUUAUUGGGUUUAAAGGGUGCGUAGGCGGCUUUUUAAGUCAGUGGUGAAAUUUUCCAGCUCAACUGGAAACGUGCCAUUGAUACUGGAAGGCUUGAGUACAGACGAGGUUGGCGGAAUUGAAGGUGUAGCGGUGAAAUGCAUAGAUAUCUGGAGGAAUACCGGUGGCGAAGGCGGCAUCCUGGACCGACAUUGACGCUGAGGAGCGAAAGCUAGGGGAGCAAACGGG